AGGAACGCUCCUGGGUUCCGCCACGGUAUAUUUUGGAUCCUUUACUCAUUGAUCAGUUUUAUAAUGAUCAUCCUGAUCAGGCUGGUGGGACGUCAUGAGCCAGCCGUUAUGGUGGGGAGUAAUGUCAUGAUUCUGUCACCACUUCCUGUUAGACUUAUUUUGUCAACUAGCAUCCAGCUUCCUGUUCCUGGCCUCGUAACUCCUCUUUAAUUUCCCUCAUUGGUUUCACCUGUCUCCCUAACUAUAUAAGCCAGUCUUGCUCUUACCUCCUUGCCAGAUUGUCUCAUCAGCACAUUGGUGAACAUUCCAGCCAGUUCCUGAAUCAGAUCCUUGAAGCCUGUGAACUCUACUCUGCCUGGAACCUGAAUUUUCUCUCUCUGCCUGAACCUUUAUCAAGAGAAUGCCUACUAGAACACACUGGUAGACUAUCCUGUGUGGUACAGUGGACUGUGUCUCUGCCUGUCACGUGGUAGACCAGGGUUUGAUUCCCAAGCAGAUCACCCCAUCCAUCUCAGAAGACCAACUAAAUCCUGUUAGCUAUACUGAUCCAGGCAAUAUCUCCACCUUCUGGCCUGGAUAGGACCUGCCAGCAUCCUGAGAACAUUGAAAGUUUAUUUUCAGUUUCUUUAAUAUCAAAGACUUAUUCACUUGUGUCUGUCUGUAAUUUUGGGUCCAGUAGUAAUUCCCUCACAUUCUGUUAUGUGGACAUUCAAAGACAUUCAUUUCAAUGACAUGGGAGUUGGUCCACCUUGAACACCUGACACAUCUAGUGUUAUAUGAAACACCUUAUUGCUCAAUAAAAAAAACUCUAAAGUUGGUCGUUUUCACUUUCUGUGUAAAACAGAGCAUAUCACAGAAAAGUUAAUGAUUUGUAAGUCACUGGGGUUGUGAGAUACAGUGAGAUGUGUAUAUGUGUCUCUUGUCACAUGAG
ensembl:lncRNA